rnacentral:rRNA from 1 species
CGGCAGUCGCUGGCGGUGUGCCUACUACAUGCAAGUCGAGCGGACAGAAGGGAGCUUGCUCCCGGAUGUUAGCGGCGGACGGGUGAGUAACACGUGGGUAACCUGCCUGUAAGACUGGGAUAACUCCGGGAAACCGGAGCUAAUACCGGAUAGUUCCUUGAACCGCAUGGUUCAAGGAUGAAAGACGGUUUCGGCUGUCACUUACAGAUGGACCCGCGGCGCAUUAGCUAGUUGGUGAGGUAACGGCUCACCAAGGCGACGAUGCGUAGCCGACCUGAGAGGGUGAUCGGCCACACUGGGACUGAGACACGGCCCAGACUCCUACGGGAGGCAGCAGUAGGGAAUCUUCCGCAAUGGACGAAAGUCUGACGGAGCAACGCCGCGUGAGUGAUGAAGGUUUUCGGAUCGUAAAGCUCUGUUGUUAGGGAAGAACAAGUGCAAGAGUAACUGCUUGCACCUUGACGGUACCUAACCAGAAAGCCACGGCUAACUACGUGCCAGCAGCCGCGGUAAUACGUAGGUGGCAAGCGUUGUCCGGAAUUAUUGGGCGUAAAGGGCUCGCAGGCGGUUUCUUAAGUCUGAUGUGAAAGCCCCCGGCUCAACCGGGGAGGGUCAUUGGAAACUGGGAAACUUGAGUGCAGAAGAGAGAGUGAAUUCCACGUGUAGCGGGUGAAAUGCAUAGAGAUGUGGAGGAACACCAGUGGCCGAAGCGACUCUCUGGUCUG